AGUUUGAUCAUGGCUCAGAUUGAACGCUGGCGGCAUGCCUAACACAUGCAAGUCGAACGGUAACGGCAGAAACAAUCCUUCGGGUGCGUUUUUGGACGACGAGUGGCGGACGGGUGAGUAAUGCUUGGGAAUUUGCCUAGUAGUGGGGGACAACACGGGGAAACUCGUGCUAAUACCGCAUACGCCCUACGGGGGAAAGCGGGGGAUCUUCGGACCUCGCGCUAUUAGAUGAGCCCAAGUCGGAUUAGCUUGUUGGUGAGGUAAAGGCUCACCAAGGCCGCGAUCCGUAGCUGGUCUGAGAGGACGAUCAGCCACACUGGGACUGAGACACGGCCCAGACUCCUACGGGAGGCAGCAGUGGGGAAUAUUGCACAAUGGGCGCAAGCCUGAUGCAGCAAUGCCGCGUGUGUGAAGAAGGCCUGCGGGUUGUAAAGCACUUUCAGUAGAGAAGAAAAGCUCAAGGUUAAUACCUUUGAGUCUUGACAUUAACUACAGAAGAAGCACCGGCUAACUCCGUGCCAGCAGCCGCGGUAAUACGGAGGGUGCGAGCGUUAAUCGGAAUUACUGGGCGUAAAGCGCGCGUAGGCGGCUAGGUCAGUCGGAUGUGAAAGCCCCGGGCUUAACCUGGGGAACUGCAUUCGAUGCUGCCUGGCUAGAGUAUGGUAGAGGGAAGUGGAAUUCCGGGUGUAGCGGUGAAAUGCGUAGAUAUCCGGA
rnacentral:rRNA from 1 species